CGGGAGGCAGCAGUGGGGAAUAUUGGACAAUGGGCGAAAGCCUGAUCCAGCAAUGCCGCGUGAGUGAUGAAGGCCUUAGGGUUGUAAAGCUCUUUUACCCGGGAUGAUAAUGACAGUACCGGGAGAAUAAGC
rnacentral:rRNA from 1 species